rnacentral:rRNA from 1 species
GAUGAACGCUAGCGGCAGGCUUAAUACAUGCAAGUCAAGGGGGUAGCAAUACAACCGGCGCACGGGUGAGUAACGCGUACACAACAUACCAUAUACUGGAGUAUAGCUUCGGGAAACUGAAGGUAAUCCUCCAUAACAUUGCGAGAAGGCAUCUAAUUGCAAUUAAAGUUUCGACGGUAUAUGAUUGGUGUGCGUUUGAUUAGCUAGUUGGUAGGGUAACGGCCUACCAAGGCGACGAUCAAUAGCUGGCGUGAGAGCGCGACCAGCCACACUGGAACUGAGACACGGUCCAGACUCCUAC